UGGGGAAUAUUGCACAAUGGAGGAAACUCUGAUGCAGCAACGCCGCGUGAAGGACGAAGGUUUUCGGAUUGUAAACUUCUUUUAUCGGGGAAGAUAAUGACGGUACCCGAUGAAUAAGCCACGGCUAACUACGUGCCAGCAGCCGCGGUAAUACGUAGGUGGCAAGCGUUGUCCGGAAUUACUGGGUGUAAAGGGCGAGUAGGCGGGACUAUAAGUCAGAUGUGAAAUGCAAAGGCUCAACCUUUGAACUGCAUUUGAAACUAUAGUUCUUGAGUGAUGGAGAGGCAGGCGGAAUUCCCGGUGUAGCGGUGGAAUGCAUAGAUAUCGGGAGGAACACCAGUGGCGAAGGCGGCCUGCUGGACAUUAACUGACGCUGAGGAGCGAAAGCGUGGGGAGCAAACA
rnacentral:rRNA from 1 species